AGCAGCCGCGGUAAUUCCAGCUCCAAUAGCGUAUAUUAAAGUUGUUGCAGUUAAAAAGCUCGUAGUUGAAUUUCGGGAUCAAAUUGUCGGUCGUGCCUCGGUACGUACUGGCGUUAUUGGUUCCUCCCUUCUGAAGAACCGCGAUGUCAUUAAUUUGGUGUCGCGGGGAAUCAGGACUGUUACUUUGAAAAAAAUUAGAGUGUUUAAAGCAGGCUCGCGCUUGAAUACAUUAGCAUGGAAUAAUGAAAUAGGACGUUUGAUUCUAUUUUGUUGGUUUCUAGGAUCGACGUAAUGAUUAAUAGGGAUAGUUGGGGGCAUUAGUAUUCAAUUGUCAGAGGUGAAAUUCUUGGAUUUAUUGAAGACUAACUACUGCGAAAGCAUUUGCCAAGGAUGUUUUCAUUAAUCAAGAACGAAAGUUAGGGGAUCGAAGACGAUCAGAUACCGUCGUAGUCUUAACCAUAAACUAUGCCGACUAGGGAUCGGAUGAUGUUAAUUUUUUAAUGACUCAUUCGGCGCCUUA
rnacentral:rRNA from 1 species